AGGUUGAUGGGAAGAUCCCACCAAAAUCUACUGGUGAAUUCCACUCAAAGGAUGAGCUAGUCAAGAAGUAUUUCAAAGCAAGCAACUAUGGAAUGAUGAAGGUUCUUGCUAAAAUGGGGAUUUCAACUUUGGCCUCCUACAAGGGUGCUCAGAUUUUUGAAGCUCUGGGCCUUUCAUCAGAAGUGAUUGAGAAGUGCUUUGCAGGAACUCCCAGCAGAGUAGAGGG
rnacentral:misc_RNA from 1 species